UACGUAGGGGGCAAGCGUUGUCCGGAAUCAUUGGGCGUAAAGCGCGCGUAGGCGGCCCGAUCAGUCCGCUGUAAAAGCCCAGGGCUCAACCCUGGAAGCCGGUGGAUACUGUCGGGCUAGAGUCCGGAAGAGGCGAGUGGAAUUCCUGGUGUAGCGGUGGAAUGCGCAGAUAUCAGGAGGAACACCGAUAGCGAAGGCAGCUCGCUGGGACGGUACUGACGCUGAGGUGCGAAAGCGUGGGGAGCGAACAGG
rnacentral:rRNA from 1 species